CAGUAGCCGCGGUAACACCGAGGGUGCAAGCGUUAAUCGGAAUUACUGGGCGUAAAGCGCGCGUAGGUGGUUUGUUAAGUUGGAUGUGAAAUCCCCGGGCUCAACCUGGGAACUGCAUCCAAAACUGGCAAGCUAGAGUAUGGUAGAGGGUGGUGGAAUUUCCUGUGUAGCGGUGAAAUGCGUAGAUAUAGGAAGGAACACCAGUGGCGAAGGCGACCACCUGGACUGAUACUGACACUGAGGUGCGAAAGCGUGGGGAGCAAACAGGAUUAGAUACCCCGGUAGUCCCUGUCUCUUAUAC
rnacentral:rRNA from 1 species